AUAUAGCUGUCAUUUGUCGACACGUCGAUCUAUCGAUCCAUCGACGAACUUGCGAUAGUAAGUUAGGUAGUAAACUAAGUUCAGUCAGGACACAGAUUUACCAUUGACAAGGUUCAUCGCGUCGAUCCGCUCAAAUCUAACGUUGAAUUGGAAAAUAUACUCCCAAAUCGUAAAAUCGUCGUAACCACGAUUGCCGAGCAAAGCAGAAGUCACGGUCCACUCGUCUAUGCAAUCCUGGAUUGUCGACGAUGUUUGCGUUUGGAUGAGGGGCUCCUGUGCCGCUUGCAUCGCCUACACCGCCUGUUGCAAGCGUGAGGCGGUGGUCGCGCCGACGCCGACAUCGUCGUCAGCGGCAGACUUGUGCAGCCCGCGGAGAACUCUGCUAUCUUCAUGAUGAUGCACAACAGCAGCACUAUCAUCAUUCGAGUCGAGAGAUCCAAUGGAACAGACGCAGUCACGCAGCUCUAGGGGAUGCGAUAUUUGGGAGAUGCUGUGCCGAAGGAUUCGGCUCGGACCUUUCUGAGUCGGCUCGAAGAAACGAAGCAGACGACCAGUUGACUCUUAGGGCUAUCGCACACAAAUUGAC